UGAGGAGCAAAGAGCUCGAGGUGGUUUAAACGGAGCCAGAGCCAGAGUGUUUCAGCGACAGAGUGACGAGGUUUCCACGAGCUCCGAGACUCAACGCGUUACUGGUGCUGCUGUGGUUUUGUAGUUAAAAGCAACCCGUGCCUCUCUAAGUCUCUAAAACGAGUGUUGUGACGUCAGCGCGAGGGGGGGUGUUUGUUUUUAGCGCUAAACCAGGCGAAGGUGGAGGAGGGAAGCAAGCCGGCAUUCCAUCAACAACAGAAGGAGCAGGAGCUCCUGGACGAAGGAGGUUGGAGGAGAACAAAGCGCUCUGAGGUGACAAAAAGGAGGCAGAGCUGCAGUUAGAAGAGGGAGGAGGACGAGGAGGCAGAGCUGCCUGGUUCCUGACUAGAACACGGGCCAGAUUCAGCCAUCCUAAUGGUGCGGAUGGACCUCCUCAGACUCCUGAUUUGCUUGGCCUGCCGCUGAAGUUUCGACUCCAGGUGGGUCUGAAUGGCGGCGCCCAGCGUCUCUGGGUCCACGGCGGCACCGUAAACCUCCCACGUCAUCCCCUG